GGGUUCAUGGCGUAGUGGUUAUCGCGUCUGUCUUACAUGUGGUUGUUCAGCCUUUCGUGUUUCACAGAAGGUCGCCAGUUCGACCCUGGCUGAGCUCA